rnacentral:rRNA from 1 species
UACAGAGGGUGCAAGCGUUGUUCGGAAUUAUUGGGCGUAAAGGGCGCGUAGGCGGUGCGGUAAGUCUGUAGUGAAAUCUCUGGGCUCAACUCAGAGUCUGCUAUAGAAACUGCCGUGCUUGAGUGUGGGAGAGGUGAGUGGAAUUCCCGGUGUAGCGGUGAAAUGCGUAGAUAUCGGAAGGAACACCAGUGGCGAAAGCGGCUUCCUGGUCCAGCACCGACGUUCAGGCACGAAAGCGUGGGGAGCAAACAGG